GCGUCGGUAGUGCAACGGUUAGCAUACGCUCCCGGAAAGAGCGAGAUGUGGGUUGGAAUCCCGGCUAACACA